AGCAGUCACUGCAAAUUGGCUUUGAGGCACGCAGGAUGAAUCCCGCAGCGAGCAGAGUUCAGGCUGAGCCAAAGCUUCCCCAUUUCAAGUUAAAACCGGAUAUUUAAGGCCCGAACACGCCCUCAUGCCCGGGAGGGGUCUCAAGGAAUUUCUUUGGGAACCAACUCCAGGACACAGGCCCAAGAUCAGAACUGACAGACCUCAACACUCUGCCAAUGACACUGAGCAGAAACUGGAGUCCCCCAGAUGACCUGAUCCUGACUGGCCAUCAAGAAAAGUUCAUCUCUCUUAUUGGGAGUGGUGAGCACUGAAACUCCAGCUGCUUCAGCUUUUCGACAGAGAUCUACAGUUCUCUUUAGAUCAUCAUGGAUUCUAAAAUUCCAAGGAAUGUAAUAAUUAUCCUCACCAUCAGUUAUCUCAACUGCAUGAAAUCCCAUCAUA